CCUACGGGAGACAGCAGUGGGGAAUAUUGGACAAUGGGGGGAACCCUGAUCCAGCCAUGCCGCGUGUGUGAAGAAGGCCCUCGGGUUGUAAAGCACUUUCAGUGAGGAAGAACGCCUGGUGGUUAAUACCCAUCAGGAAAGACAUCACUCACAGAAGAAGCACCGGCUAACUCCGUGCCAGCAGCCGCGGUAAUACGGAGGGUGCGAGCGUUAAUCGGAAUUACUGGGCGUAAAGCGCGCGUAGGUGGCUUGAUAAGCCGGUUGUGAAAGCCCCGGGCUCAACCUGGGAACGGCAUCCGGAACUGUCAAGCUAGAGUGCAGGAGAGGAAGGUAGAAUUCCCGGUGUAGCGGUGAAAUGCGUAGAGAUCGGGAGGAAUACCAGUGGCGAAGGCGGCCUUCUGGACUGACACUGACACUGAGGUGCGAAAGCGUGGGUAGCAAACAGGAUUAGAUACCCUUGUAGUC
rnacentral:rRNA from 1 species